UAGGGAAUCUUCGGCAAUGGACGAAAGUCUGACCGAGCAACGCCGCGCGAGUGAAGAAGGUUUUCGGAUCGUAAAACUCUGUUGUUAGAGAAGAACAAGGACGUUAGUAACUGAACGUCCCCUGACGGUAUCUAACCAGAAAGCCACGGCUAACUACGUGCCAGCAGCCGCGGUAAUACGUAGGUGGCAAGCGUUUUCCGGAUUUAUUGGGCGUAAAGCGAGCGCAGGCGGUUUCUUAAGUCUGAUGUGAAAGCCCCCGGCUCAACCGGGGAGGGUCAUUGGAAACUGGGAGACUUGAGUGCAGAAGAGGAGAGUGGAAUUCCAUGUGUAGCGGUGAAAUGCGUAGAUAUAUGGAGGAACACCAGUGGCGAAGGCGGCUCUCUGGUCUGUAACUGGCGCUGAGGCUCGAAAGCGUGGGGAGCAAACAGG
rnacentral:rRNA from 1 species